CCUGGAAAGAGAGUGAGUUUUGCUCAGGGGUCUCCCUGUGCUGAGUGGCUGCGGCAGGCAGGGCGAUGUGCCACCCUGCAGAGGCCCCGAUCCCUGGAACCUGUAAAUGUGCUACUUUACAAGGAAAAAAGGACUUUGCAGACGUGACUCAGAACCUUGGGAUGGGGACAGCAGCUGGGAGUAUUCAGGUGAGCUCAUGAGCCUUUAAAGAUAGAAGAGGACUGGAGGAGGCAGGGCCGAGAGAGGGCCGGCCAGGGGUCCGCCACAGCCGGCCUUCACUUUGAAGAUGGAGGAAGAGGCACAGGGCCAGAUGCAGCAGCCUCUAGAAACUACGAUCAAUCUUUUUACAGCAGCAGGAACCGGGUACCUCGAUCCUACAACCACAGGAACGGAUUCUGUCAACAACCUGAAAAAGCAGGAACCAGAUUCUUCCCCUCAACUCUCCGGAAAGGAGCCGGCCUGCCAAGGCCUUGACCUCAGCCUGAGGAGACCCACAGACUCUGGCCCAAGAACUGUAGGAUGAGAAACUUUGUAUUGUCUUAAAACACUACAUUUGUGGCAAUUUGUUACCCCAACAAUAAAAAAUGAAUACAGUGACCCUUAGAGGUUGGGGUGGGGUCCAGCCUCCAGACCAGGGCUCCAGGGUAGGCAAAGGCCCAGGGAGCGUGGCCCCACGAGUCUGUAUUAGGUCACAUCAGCCCAGGACUUAAUCUUCCCAAUCUUAUUUGAUUCUUUCCAACAACACUGUGACACAAAUAGUAUCCUGUUGCCUUUUGCCUGAACCUCAGAGAAGCCAGGGGUAAUGAUCAUGAUUCCGUGUACUAACCGCAUUCCUAGUAUCAUGCACCACGCAUAUGUCACCUCACUCAGUUCUUUAUAUGGAGAAGUUGUCUAACUGUCAAGGCCACAGAGCUGGAAUGGCUGACCUCCUUCCAACCUGGGAACCACCUUUACUGGGUGACAUAAACCGGUUUUCCUGGCAGGCAUUCUUGGAGAUGGGAUUAGUGAGCUCGUGAGAAGAAGCCUUACCUCUGUAAGGGAAGAAGGACUGAGUGGAGAGGCUGACCGGAGGCGAUAAAGUCCUCUGCUGACCUUGCAGGAAGACCCCUCAGAGUCGACCUCAGUCCCUUUAUAGAUGCCUCAGUCCCAGCAUCUAUAAAAGGGGAAGAUUAAUGGCCCACAUGACUUCACCUGCUGCUGCCCUCCUCCAGCACCCCACCACUGUCCCUCCCUGCGCAGGGAGACAUCAGUAGGUGUCGGUCCGUCAUCAGGAGACUCACGACAUGGAGGGAGAAGGUGCACUAUGAAAUGCAGAGCAUCCUUCCAUCUCUACCCUCAGGAGCCGGUUCCCACCUUUACCUUGUGAGUUCCGCACUGCAUCUCAUUCAGUGUACCACUGACCUGCAGGACUGGCAUUCUUAACCCAUUGUACAGAAGGGAAACAGGGACUCGAAGACUCUCGGUACAUUGCCUAAGCUCACACAGACAGACAGACAGACCACGUGGGAUUCCAACCCAGGCCUCUCUGACCCCAAAGUUCAUGCCCUUUUGCUUUAUGCUGUUUCUUUUCCACACAGCCACAUAAUGAAUCCUGGCAAACGUUUAUUGAGCAACUACUACACGCCGGGCUUUGUUCUAAGCAUGUAUCUAUUUUAUCUCAUUCAAUCUUAACAAUCACACUAGAACAUAAUACCAUUCUUUAUCUUGUCUUAUAGAUAAAAAAGCUAGGGUUUGAGAUGCCUAAAUAACUCCACCACAGCAGGUGACUGCAGAGCUGGGGCUUAAGCACUGGAGUGUGUGUGUGAUAUUUUUGGAUUGUUUCUGCUACUUAGCACUGUCGGUGCUUCUUUGCUCAGGGGGCUGGAGCAGCCAGAAGGUAAAUUCCUCAUCUCCAGCACAGCA